GACGUCGGUAGUGCAACGGUUAUAGCACGCACCGCCGGAGAGGGUGAAAUGUGGGUUUGAGUCUCAGCUGAUGUCA